GCAUUCUGGAAAUGGAUUCAGGCUAACAGAGUGUUCUGAAUAGAGAUGCCUAAAACAAGAGCCAAAGACAUAGUGAUGGAGAACGUGAGUGCUACAACCCUCCACCCUGGCGAGCAGCACAUUAGAAUCACGUAGGAGCUUAAAAAGUACUGACUGGCCUGGUCUUUUUUGGUGUGAAGGCAGAUGGACCACCCAAAUGGCAAACUAAAAGCAUCGAAGCGGACACCAGAGGCUCCUGGACCUGAGAUGUGGUCCUGGAAGUGAUCAGAUGUGGUCUCAAGAGAUGGGGGCCCAGGGCUAGGAAUGCCACCAUACAGGGAGGCCCUAGAGCAGAGCGGAGCGGCCGUGGGCCGGAGCCAAGCUCACUCAUGCUUCUCUCUGCACGUCUCCCUCAUUUUUUCUCUCUGGACUGUGACCCUUUUGGCCCCUCUGGGUACCAGGUUUGGGACAAGGUGACCCCUCAGCACUUGAGUUUACACCUUAGAUGUGUAGGUCCUCACAGAGGCCAACUUGUCUCCUUCUGGGACCAAAUUCCAAAUUCCUAAAAAAAAAUCAAAAACGGAUAUGAUAAGC
rnacentral:lncRNA from 1 species